AGUGCAUGAUGUGGGCACUUCCGUAGCAAGUCAUUCAACUGCUCCCAUGCUUCAUGUAAGGGUUCUCCAUCGUCUUGGGUAAACUCACGAAUUAAAGUUCUCAUU